rfam:Pongo abelii chromosome 15.
AUGUGACUUGUGGACUUCCCUUUGUCAUCCUUCGCCUAGGGCUCUGAGCAGGGCAGGGACAGCAAAGGGGUGCUCAGUUGUCACUUCC